GUGCUCACUUCAGCAGCACAUAUACUAACAUUGGAAUGAUACAGAGAAGAUUAGCAUGGCCCCUGUGCAAGGAUGACACGCAAUUUGUGAAGUGUUCCAUAUUUCA
rnacentral:snRNA from 1 species